AGCCGGUAGGUAUUACUUUCUUAGUUCAAAUUUAUGCCGAUUACCUUCUAAAACGCUAGGUGUCUUGCUGCACACGGUGAGACUCAAGAAAAUCAAUGAAAAGGUACUUUGAUCCGCAUCUUAUAAUUUUAAUUUGUGGCAUCAUUUGAUUUGUGACAUUACAUUGGGCUGCUUAACAACCACUCCGAAAUAGUUUUAUCAAAAUUCAUCAUUAACCCAACAUAAAAUUAAAGUAGAUAACAUGAUAGAUAGCUAUUGAAUAAGUAUU